ensembl:snRNA U6 U6 spliceosomal RNA
GUGCUCACUUCGGAAGCAUAUAUUCUAAAAUUGGAACAAUACAGAGAAGAUUAGCAUGGCCCCAGUGCAAGGACACGCAAAUUCGUGAAGCGCUCCAGAUUUUU